rnacentral:rRNA from 1 species
UACAGAGGUCCCAAGCGUUGUUCGGAUUCACUGGGCGUAAAGGGUGCGUAGGUGGCAAGGUAAGUUUGAUGUGAAAUCUUCGAGCUCAACUCGGAAACUGCAUUGAAUACUAUCUUGCUUGAGGAUUGGAGGGGAGGCUGGAAUUCUCGGUGUAGCAGUGAAAUGCGUAGAUAUCGAGAGGAACACCAGUGGCGAAGGCAGCUCGCUGGGACGGUACUGACGCUGAGGCGCGAAAGCGUGGGGAGCAAACAGG